AUGAGACAUCUGAGGAAAUAUCAUCUCAGUGAGAAGCACUAUGCAGUUGAGAAACAUGUGUUUAGGGGAAACCCAAAUAAAGAUGGAUUUCUUUGUCUGUGGGUUCCUUCUCUUUCUCUGCUUUUUUUUUUUUUUUUUUCUUUUUUCUUUUUCUUUUUUCUUUCUUAUUUCACAGGCUUUUUGAAUCCCUCAAGGAGCAUCCAGGAUGGAAUGAGAUUAGGUCUGGUCUUACCCUACUUCCUCCAAGCACACUCUGAGGAGCAAGUUAUCUCCUCCUGGAGAGCUGCAAAGCUGCAGAAGGACACCGAAGCCAUCAACUCCCUAGGUUUUCCAGGCUCCCGUUCUUGUCCUGCGCUGUCUUAUGCUAUUCCUAGAAGUAAAAUUUAAAUGAAAGCUUCAUUUGAAAUGUAGAACCAUCUGAAAA
rnacentral:lncRNA from 1 species